CAGCUGCACAUCGACCGGCACGCCAAGGUCCUCGUCACAACGCGUCCUUUCUCAUCAAACACGCCACGUCCUCCUCUCCUCUUCUCUGACAGCCAGAUCCUCUCUCCCUCGCGUCGUCUCCUACGAUUUUGCCUCUCAACAACGAAUCCAGAUCCAUGCAGGUCGACCUUAGAUGCCACGCUGGGAGGCACCAGGAGGAGGAGAGGUCGUGACCGACGGCGGAGGAGUGGCCGCGGCGGUGGAUGAAAGUUUGUGUCGCGUGGCGGCGUCGUGGACAUCGGCGCCGACUCCUGCACCUUCGGCUCGCCUUCCUCACCUUGCCGCCGCACCAUCGGCUCCUCCCUCUCGGCCUCCUCUUUCCCCACCCCUCUUUGUUGUACACGGCGGCAGGAGGGUCGCAUCUAAGAGUAGCUUCUCUGAUUCAUGUGAUUGUGUUUUCUUAGUUCAUUUUGCGCUAAUCCGUUGCUCGUCGCCUGUUCGUUUUUAUGCUGCAUCGUUGUAUGACUGUGUAUGCAUCUUGUAUUGCUGGUCUGAUUUUCCCCUUUUGACAACUCUCAUUAAAUCAUUCAACUACUGAACUUGAUACUUUUAGUUCUUUGAACCGAUCGAAAUGAUUUCAGUGGUGAAGUAGGUAUGUGGCACUUCAAGUUUGAGGAAGUAGCAAUUGGAGAGAAUGGGAGGAGAGAGGAUGAUGAGCUUUCAAAUGUUUGUAUGGUCCCGUGACGCGUCUCCUCUGCACUUCAGGGUCACAAGUGACUUCUGGCAAAAGAUUGCGAACAAAGCUAUGCAAGAGUUAUUAUUUUUGGUCCUAUUGAAGCUGGCCACUACAAUGGUUCUUCAGUCUACAGAGUUUCAUGUUGAGCUUUUGAUAAUCACAGGACAUCAGAUAUCUUUGGCAUGCCUAAUGGCCUAAUGGAGUUGUGCAACACAGGUAAGGAAGGUGAAGGUCUGAGUCUGAAGUAAAUGAUACUAAGAUUGUAAGAAUGAGGUGAUGUCGUCCGGAUGUAAAUUGAAUGUUUAGUCACCAUAUAUUACAGUUUUGAUCUCUUUUUUUUGGCAAAUGAUUCAUAGUAGUCAGUCACAUAUCGAGUAGUCCAGAUUUUGAAAUUUUUGGUUGCAUGCUCAUACUACUAUCCGUUCUUUGUGCUACUACAUCUGGCAGUGUCAUAUGUGCAACCUCAGAUGAAUAUAUGACAAGUUCUGCAAGUUUAUUUCAAGAUAUUUAUUUUUAACACAAUUUAUUAUAGAAUAGCAUGAUAGAGUGAUUAAUAUAACAGAACAGGUUGCUUAAAUACCUAUCAUGUUAUCAUGGUUUAUAGUUGAUUAUUACAAUAUUCGUUGUUUUACUUGGGCAUUUAUGUUAUUUAUCAUUUUCACUUAGGAGGUUUAUGUAAUUGUGGUGAGGACUACUGAUGGUUGCACAGUCAGUUAUCCUAUCGUUAAAACCAUUCAUAAGUAAGAUAUCACAUAUACGGUGCCAUUACAAUGUCAAGGAGCAUUAUAUUUGAAAUCACAUAUAUGUUUAUGAAUCAUUAUCAGUUCUAAAUUAUCAUUUUUACAUGGACAGAGGCCAACAACCUCAAGGGCAGUAAUCACUUAAGGUUUGUAUUUUUAGGUUUGCAGCACAAUGUACUCAAAAAGGGUAAUCGUGAGUUUUUGAAUGCAAGGAGGUUGUACAUGGUUUUUUAUGGUGAGUUCUGUAACUAAGCAUUCAAAUUGUACCCCAUAAAUAAUCCCCCCCACCCCUACCCCACCCCUUUGUUUUCGCCAUCCUCUUCAGCGACAGGGAUAAUUCAACUACAUGUUUGUAUCAAAAUAGAGGGAUGUUUGUAGGCUUCAUUGGAAGGUUGUUGUAGGAGACCAGAAACCUAUUUUAGUGAAUCUUAUUAUGUGGUACACUUGUGACCUUUUGCUAGAAGAGAGAAGAGGCCAAAUGAAUCUCUGCAUGAUUCUAAACUAGACUGUGAGGAAAAUUCAGUUCGUACAUAUGGUUGAUCAGGCAUGGUACUGAAUUCUUAUAACAUACGCAGAUGACCUUUGUUUCUGGGUUGAUCGAUCUAAGCUAUUAAAAUGUUCUACUGUUAUAUCUAAACUAACAUUUCUAACUGAAAUCAUUCUGAAGCGAAACUGGGAAUCAAACAAGGCAGCUCAAUGUGCUGAAAAAAGAUAGGAGCGCACAUGAACGCCCCAACCACUAGUCACCAUGAAGACGGAGGGUAAGACUGUUGUUUUUGUAUGAGGAAAAAAAGUGGAGCAGAUACAUAGAAAACCCAUCGCCAUCAGAACAGGGUUAGCCAUGCGUUGGCUAAGCAUGCUGGACUAGAUACAACUUGUUGGUUUGGCUCUUUGCCUCGGUUAAAUUAUUUCACGGUUAAUCUGGGAUGUAGAGUAUUGUUGUUUCUUCAGAUUGAAACUUUUCUAUUUUUCUCACAAGAAAAAAGUUGGGCUUUUUCUUAAAGAUCGGCAGCCCAAUAUAUUUUUUUUAAUAA